rnacentral:rRNA from 1 species
UACGUAGGUGGCGAGCGUUAUCCGGAAUUACUGGGCGUAAAGCGUGUGCAGGCGGGGUGGUAAGUGGGGUUUGAAAUCUCCUGGCUCAACCAGGAGGGGUUAUGCCAGACUGCCAUUCUUGAGUGCGAGAGAGGAGCGUGGAAUUCCGGGUGUAGUGGUGAAAUGCGUAGAGAUCCGGAGGAACCCCAGAGGCGAAGGCGGCGCUCUGGCGCGCAACUGACGCUCAGACACGACAGCAUGGGGAGCGAACGGG